ACCGUUUCGAAUAUUUUGGAGUUUAGCUCCCCUGUAUAAUAGACCGAGUUGCCAACUGCUUCUUCUCAGUAUCGGUCGCUCUUUAGACUUUAGUUCAAUUAUAGUUCUGUUUGUUCGUGAAUGUGAUGGAUGUGUUGUCUCCGAAAUUGCCACUAUGGAUGAGAUUUGAUCCACUGGAUGACAAGGUCAUCGACUUCUUCUUGAGGGCAAAGAUCACUGGGAAUGUUGAUUUAAGUCGACUUCAUUCCCGAAGCCCGGAAUGGCAAAUCGGAGUCCUAGGAUUUUGAAAGUAACGUAUAUUCUCCCAUUUCUUGUUAUCAAACACCCAGAUUCGUGUCUUUUUUUUUUUGGCGAUUUGUUGUUGGGAUUUUAUGUCGUUGAUUUUGCUAAUUUUUGUAUGUUUAUUGAACUCUGUUGGAAGAAUUCAUAGCUGGUUAAGUUGAUCAUAUCUGCAGGCUUAACCUUUUGGGAUAACUGUUUGUUUAACUUGCUCUCAAGAUAUUAAAUCGGUGUGAGACCAAUAAAAUAGCACUGCCUCUGUAUGACCAUUUGAUUUUCUCGUUUGGAUCUUGAAUUUUUUCCUUUAUUGUUAUUUGUUUCUUAAUCAUGUCCUGCAUGUUGUGCUCGUGUGUUUUACUCACUUUGGCCCUCAAACUUUGUGCUUAGUCUGGUUUGAUUCAUGUGGCAUAAAGACCAAGUAUGAAGAGUGGUGAUUCUUCUCGCCACUGGAUCUGAAGCAUCGGAGUGGGAAUCGAUCGAGCAGGGCAACCAAUGCUGGGUACUGGAAAGUCAUUGGUCAGGCUAACAAAUCAUGUCUGAUUCGGGAUUGAUUGGAAAGAAAAACUUUCUGGUAUUCUAUAGAGUGCGUUGUCCAGGCAAGAAAACCAAUUGGGUAUUGCAUGAGUAACCCAAAACCCUGAAAGAACUCGAUGGCACGCAUCCCGAUCAGAGCGCCUUUGUACUCUGUCAUUUAUCUUAUAAACAAGAAAAAAAGAGUAUUAAAGACCCAAACUUUAAUGAUGCUGGGCCUGCUGUUUCAUCUCCCGCCACAUCCAAAUCUCGUCUUGAAGAAUCAGAGUCUGAGCUACUUCUGGUCUCGGUAUUCCCAGCAUCAGAAGUGCAAGCUACUACGACAAACAUUGUAGUGAUCAUGCUGCGGAGAAUCACUUGGGAGAACUUACCACUACCGAUGAGAGAAAAGAAUUGAUAAAACAGUUGUUAAUUUUUUUCCGAAAGUUUAGAAGUGCAGUCGAUUAAUUAAGUACUUAUCUUAUCUAUUCAUUUUUUUUUUUUUCAUUAGGAUGAUCUACAACUAGAAGCAUAAAAAAUGACCUUUGAGCUGCAGCAUAUAGUAGUUUGUGAAAUUUUGACACCCUCAACUUCACCACACAAUACCCUUACUACAUGAUCCAUUGACCUUAAUAGAGACCAAAGUGAGAUUCUUUUGACUGAUAAACAUAUUUUGAAUGUACUCACUACGAAAAUCAAGUGUUGAAUGUACUCAUAGCCAUAUGCGGCGGGCUCACUAGCACCAUACUGAAAAUACGUCCAACAAUGAUUGUUGUUCAAGUCAUAGCAUAUGGCUAUGAGUUUUCAAAUUUAACACUUGAUUUUUCUAGUGAGUACAUUCAAAAUAAGUUUCAGUCAAAAGAAUCUUACUUUGUUUUCUAUUAAGGUCAAUGGAUCAUGCAGUAAGGGUAUUGUGUGGUGAAGUUGAGGGUGUCAAAACUUCACAAGCUACAAUUUGCUGCAGCUCAAAGGUCAUUUUUUAUGCUUCUAGUUGCAGAUCAUCUUGAUGAAAAAAAAAUGAAUAGAUAAAGAUAAGUACUUAAUUAAUCAACUGCACUGGCCCGAUGAAAAAAAAAA